rnacentral:rRNA from 1 species
AAGAGACAGCAGCAGCCGCGGUAAAACGUAGGUGGCAAGCGUUGUCCGGAAUUAUUGGGCGUAAAGGGCUCGCAGGCGGUUUCUUAAGUCUGAUGUGAAAGCCCCCGGCUCAACCGGGGAGGGUCAUUGGAAACUGGGAAACUUGAGUGCAGAAGAGGGGAGUGGAAUUCCACGUGUAGCGGUGAAAUGCGUAGAGAUGUGGAGGAACACCAGUGGCGAAGGCGACUCUCUGGUCUGUAACUGACGCUGAGGAGCGAAAGCGUGGGGAGCGAACAGGAUUAGAUACCCGUGUAGUCCCUGUCUCUUAUAC